rnacentral:rRNA from 1 species
AUUAGACGAAUCAUCUGGAAAGAUGAAUCAAAGAAGGUAAUAAUCCUGUAGUCGAAAAUGUUGUCUCUCUUGAGUGGAUCCUGAGUACGACGGAGCACGUGAAAUUCCGUCGGAAUCUGGGAGGACCAUCUCCUAAGGCUAAAUACUCUCUAGUGACCGAUAGUGAACCAGUACCGUGAGGGAAAGGUGAAAAGCACCCCGGAAGGGGAGUGAAAUAGAACCUGAAACCGUGUGCUUACAAGUAGUCAGAGCCCGUUAAUGGGUGAUGGCGUGCCUUUUGUAGAAUGAACCGGCGAGUUACGAUUUGAUGCAAGGUUAAGCAGUAAAUGUGGAGCCGUAGCGAAAGCGAGUCUGAAUAGGGCGUUUAGUAUUUGGUCGUAGACCCGAAACCAGGUGAUCUACCCUUGGUCAGGUUGAAGUUCAGGUAACACUGAAUGGAGGACCGAACCGACUUACGUUGAAAAGUGAGCGGAUGAACUGAGGGUAGCGGAGAAAUUCCAAUCGAACCUGGAGAUAGCUGGUUCUCUCCGAAAUAGCUUUAGGGCUAGCCUCAAGUGAUGAUUAUUGGAGGUAGAGCACUGUUUGGACGAGGGGCCCCUCUCGGGUUACCGAAUUCAGACAAACUCCGAAUGCCAAUUAAUUUAACUUGGGAGUCAGAACAUGGGUGAUAAGGUCCGUGUUCGAAAGGGAAACAGCCCAGACCACCAGCUAAGGUCCCAAAAUAUAUGUUAAGUGGAAAAGGAUGUGGCGUUGCCCAGACAACUAGGAUGUUGGCUUAGAAGCAGCCAUCAU